rnacentral:rRNA from 1 species
AUUGAACGCUGGCGGCAGGCCUUACACAUGCAAGUCGAACGGAGUGGCGGACGGGUGAGUAAUGUCUGGGAACCUGCCCGAUGGAGGGGGAUAACUACUGGAGACGGUAGCUAAUACCGCAUACCAUCGGAUUUGCCCAGAUGGGAUUAGCUAGUGGGUGGGUGAAAGGCCUACCAAGGCGACGAUCCGUAACUGGUCUGAGAGGAUGAUCAGUCACACUGGGACUGAGACACGGUCCAGACUCCUACGGGAGGCAGCAGUGGGGAAUAUUGGACAAUGGGCGAAAGCCUGAUCCAGCCAUGCCGCGUGUGUGAAGAAGGUCUUCGGAUUGUAAAGCACUUUAAGUUGGGAGGCGUUACCAGCAGAAUAAGCACCGGCUAACUUCGUGCCAGCAGCCGCGGUAAUUC